AAUCGACCAGCGCGGUAUGCUGGUAGAUCGUUUCGAUGCCGGCAUCGGCGGAAUCCGAGCGGCAGGAAAAGGUCGUCUUCUUGCCGUCGACGCUGAGAUAGCCGUCCGUC
rnacentral:sRNA from 1 species